UUCUCUGUUUUGUCAGAACAAAAAGAGAGAAUGAGGUAAAGACUUUGAGUCUAAUUUUUCCACCUGGAAUAACUCUCCCUAGGGCUGGAAGUAGGGCUAAAUCAUUUUUUUCUGACUUUUACAGCAGGACACCUUGAUUUUAUGAGAUAUGUGGCCACUAUACCCAUCCUCAUCUCAGAGCUUUUUCCAUGCCUAGCACCCAGCCUACAAAACAACAAGGAAAGCAGCAAUAACCAUGAAACCAAAGAUUCAGUAUCGAUCCCUUCCAAGUUAAACAACCAUCAGCGAAGGCUUGAAUGUAAGGCAGCAUUCAUAUGGGAAGGAGCCAUAACGUUGACAGUGUCCUUGUUGCUGUGUGCCUUCAAGUCACGAUCCUAAGGUGACACUAUCAUGGGGUUUUCUUGGGCAGUCCAAGGUCUCGUCAUGACUGUUAGAAAAACAGCAACCAAGAAUGUCCUCCUUGACAAUGUAACUCUCAAACAUCAUAACCUGGAGGCGAUAAUAUUCUCAGAAUUUGUUGAAGUGCUUCUAAAAUGUGUGUAUGUGUACAUCCUUCCUUAUUAGAUUAAGUACAAGGAUUUUGAUGGGAAAGUACUUCUAUGUAUUUACUUACAAUAAGGCAGAACAAAGAUUGGGAGUGUCAUGAGAUGCAGAGUUCUUUACUUAGAUAUUAUAUUUUUAUUUUCAUGAAAAGGGAAAUGUUCUUGUAAGUGUUUCUGACUUACACAGGAAAAUAAUUGCCUCAAAUCUGUACAGGUUUAAAACUAUCUUGAUCUGUUUUAAUUGUUCUAUUGUUCUAUUGUUUACUAUGCUUUCAGGCUCUUCCUCCUUUAAAAAAAAUUAAACUAUUUUGCAGUGAUAUCAAUUUAAACCAGUUCUUGUGAUUUUUUUUCAAUUAAUAAAAAAAUCUAUCAUUUUAGGCUAUGUGUAUGAGGUGUAUAUGAAACUUAAAUAUGGAGCCCCCAGUGGCUCAGUGGGUUAAACCCUUGUGCUGCAGGACUGAUGACUGGAAGGUUAGAUUGCUGACCUGAAGGUUGCAAGUUCGAAUCCAACCUGGGGAGAGCGUGGAUGAGCUCCCUCUAUCAGCUCCAGCUCCAUGGGGGGACAUGAGAGAAGCCUCCCACAAGGAUGGUAAAAACAUCAAAGCAUCCCCUGAGUAACGUCCUUGCAGACUGCCAAUUCUCUCACACCAGAAGCUACUUGCAGCUUCUCAAAUCACUCCUGACAUGAAAAAAAAACUUAAAUGAAUUUUGUGUUUAGACUUAAGUCCCAUCUCCAAGAUCUCUCAUGUUGUACAUGCAAAUAUUUGAAAACAAACAAACAAACCCCAAAUCCAAAUCAUUUCUGGUCUCAACUGAUAGUCAAUCUGUAGCAGAAUCUCUUAUCCAGCAUGCCCUAUGUGGGAUUCUGGGAGUCGUGGCCCCAAAAAGUUUUUUUAUUAUUAUUCUGGAACAGGCUUGCAUACCUUCUUGUGGCCAGAUAGGACCAAACAUGAGGAUUCUGUUCAUUCUGAACCACAAAAUGGAAGCUUUUUCUUGAGAUCCUAGUAGGUGGCAAAGCAUGGCUGGUGGGCUGCUUUGAGCCUGGUGGCUUACAAGUUGUGAAUGUCUUAUAGAGACUAUAAGGGCCAAUUCAAAACAGAUUAGGGUCAGGGAGGAGAGGGGCUUCUUGUUUGAAAGCAGCCAUAACAUUUCAGCCGAGCCCAUGGUCGCCUGUACUGCCUGUGUUUUUCUGCGUGUUGGAAAAGAGCAGAUGGUUUAGGUGACUGAGGGAAAGGAGACGAAAGGUCAGCUGGAAAUGGUAAAGAAUGUGUGGUUAGUUAAAGAUGUUUCUUUUGAACACAACAUCCAUGGGGGGUCUGGGAGUGGGAAAUCAACCUCUCCAGGUAUAACUCCAACACGCCGGUGGUCUCGCCUCUUCUGCUCUCUGCACAAAGUCUCUCUUUAAAAGCAAAGAAGUGGUGAACCUUGAAUCCUCUCUUGUUCUUGGUCUAGGAACAUACUGUGGUUUGUCACACGUCACAGGUACCAUUUGUAUAAAUGAUUUUAAGGUGGGAUUUCACCCCCAGACAGCUUCCCUGACCCUUGCAAUGGGAUCAAAAUAGCUCUUGUAUUCCUGAGGAGUGAAAAGAGAGAAAGUGUGCAAGAUUUUAUGACAUGCAGUGCAAGGCAUGUUGCAGCCAAACAGUUCCAUGUAGGAUGCAGAACCUUCCACGGCUUUGGGUGCCAAUUCCAUAAACAUCACAGAGCUCAUCUGCUUACAUGGAUCAUCCCAAACCUCUUGAGUUUUCUUGGAAUCUUGCAGCUCUCUCUGGCAUUUCCUGUCAAGGUCCAACCAAUCAGCUGCCACCAUCACCCCCCUCCCUCGCACCCACUAUUUUCUUUUGGAGCUUUUUCCUUCCAGGCCCAGCUGAAGCCUGAAUGUUCAGGGAGGCAUGAAGAAUGAUGGAUUGCAGGGGAAGGGCAUUUUAACAAUAGUUGACUGGGACCUUGCCAGAUCGAUCAAUUAAUCAAUUCAGGCUGCAGAUUGGUGUUGCUGUGAUUGUAUUUUAAUGCAGGUGACUCAGAGCGACUUGACUUUUAAGCAGCAAGGACUGGUUGGGAAUGUUAACACUCAGAAACAAAAAACAAAACAACAUCUAGAAUCCACAGUGUGAUGCCUCAUGGGCCUUGUAGUCCUGCUCCUAGUGCCAUCGUGGCAGAUGAAGACGAAAACAUGGGGUUUUUGCCGGUCCAACAAGAGCCGGAGUCCUUUCACCUGCCGGAUGUUGAUGUUUGUCCCCAAGAAUUCAGUAAAACAGACCUUGGACAUUCCUCGUCUCCGUUCCCUAGAAAAGAAUCCUACUGUGCUGACAGAGGAGUCAGGGAACAGAAUCGCAGGAGUUUACGGAUUGCUGCCAAACAACAGGCUGAUUAGACCUGCUUCCCUUGGGAAAUUCUAAGGAGUCUUGCAUCUGGACAAAGUUGGGUUUCGCUUCCCGUUCUCUAGGGAAAGAGAUUGUUGGCGGGAAAACGAGACCCCAAUAUAGGUGCCUGACGCGGGAGAAUCUUUGCGGAGUCAACAGAGCAGCUUCAGGAGUAAGAUCGUGUGUGGACUUCGUAACCCCAGUUCCUUGCUUCCCGGAUUAAGUAUUCAAGUCUUGCCUCGCUUUGCCUUUAACCACGGACCUUGUUCUAAGAAUCACUGUUGCCUUGUAUCCAGCCUUGUAUCCAGCCUUGUUUCCAGCCUUGUUGUCAAGCUACCUAGGACUCCUGAGACCCAGACAUUUCCCCACACUAUUGCUUGGCAAUAGUGUGUGUUUCGGUAUUGGAUAAAAAACUUUGGACUCUAAUAUCAUUUAUUGGACAAUACAUUUUUGGACUAUAUUUGACCUCAUCUGAAAGGUCUGCUUCUGAACUAUAUUCUUCACUUGUUUUUAUUGCUUUUAUAUAUUUCUUUAAUAAAGAUAUUAGAUAGAGA